rnacentral:tRNA from 1 species
GGCGAGAUGGCCGAGCGGUCUAAGGCGCUACGUUAAGGAGAUCCUUAAUAACAUCAUUCAUGAGUGAUUCCGUAGUCCGAAAGGGCGUGGGUUCGAAUCCCACUCUCGUCA